rnacentral:rRNA from 1 species
AGCGAACGCUGGCGGCAGGCUUAACACAUGCAAGUCGAGCGGGCACUUCGGUGUCAGCGGCAGACGGGUGAGUAACACGUGGGAACGUACCCUUCGGUUCGGAAUAACGCUGGGAAACUAGCGCUAAUACCGGAUACGCCCUUUUGGGGAAAGGUUUACUGCCGAAGGAUCGGCCCGCGUCUGAUUAGCUAGUUGGUGGGGUAAUGGCCUACCAAGGCGACGAUCAGUAGCUGGUCUGAGAGGAUGAUCAGCCACACUGGGACUGAGACACGGCCCAGACUCCUACGGGAGGCAGCAGUGGGGAAUAUUGGACAAUGGGCGCAAGCCUGAGCCAGCCAUGCCGUGUGAGUGAUGAAGGCCUUAGGGUUGUAAAGCUCUUUUGUCCGGGACGAUAAUGACGGUACCGGAAGAAUAAGCCCCGGCUAACUUCGUG